CCGACUCAAGUUGAUUUGAGUCGACUCCUUCAGGAUCCGAGCCAACUCCAUUGAUGGCAGAAUCCCUUUGCUUGAUUCCUCGCUCCACUUUGCAUCUUAAGUAUUCGAAGCCCCAAUCAAGCUCCUCAAAAUCCUCACCAGCAUGAACCUCGAGCCCAUGGAAGCUAUGCUCCACCUCCAUCCUAGGACCACUCCUGUCCUAGUGAACCUGAAAUCUAUCAUCUCGACUCCACUA
rnacentral:lncRNA from 1 species